rnacentral:sRNA from 1 species
GUUGGGUGCAGUGGCGCAUGCCUGUAAUCCCAGCAGCUCAGGAGGCUGAAGCAGGAGGAUCUCAAGUGCAAAGCCAGCCUUAGCAACUUAACAAGGCCCUAAGCAACUAAGUGAGACCCUGUCUCAA